UGGGGUAUAGCCAAGCGGUAAGGCAACGGACUUUGACUCCGUCAUUCGCAGGUUCGAGUCCUGCUACCCCAGCCA
rnacentral:tRNA from 1 species